rnacentral:rRNA from 1 species
CCUACGGGAGGCAGCAGUGGGGAAUAUUGCACAAUGGGGGAAACCCUGAUGCAGCAACGCCGCGUGAGUGAAGAAGUAUUUCGGUAUGUAAAGCUCUAUCAGCAGGGAAGAAGAUGACGGUACCUGAGUAAGAAGCCCCGGCUAACUACGUGCCAGCAGCCGCGGUAAUACGUAGGGGGCAAGCGUUAUCCGGAUUUACUGGGUGUAAAGGGAGCGCAGGCGGGAAGUCAAGUCAGCUGUGAAAACUACGGGCUUAACUUGUAGACUGCAGUUGAAACUGGUUUUCUUGAGUGAAGUAGAGGUUG